ACGGAGGGCACGGCAGGCACCGGGAUGCGGGGGCUGGUGGCGCUGCUGGCGGCGCUGAGCUGCGCGGCCCCGGCGGGGCGGGCGGCGGCGCCCGGGGGUGCCCUCAGCUCCAACGCCAUCAAGGGACCCCCCCCGGGAGGGGCGGCAGAGACCAGCGCCGCCCCCGCACCCCCGUUCGACGGCAGCAAUAAGGCCCCGCCGGCCGCCACCCGACAGCCUUUCCCGUGCGCCGAGGACGAGGAGUGCGGCCCCGAGGAGUUCUGCGGGGGCGCGGCCCGCGGCGGGGGGGCCCCGCUGUGCCUGGGCUGCCGGCGGCGCCGCAAGCGCUGCCUGCGCGAUGCCAUGUGCUGCCCCGGCAUGAGCUGCAGCAACGGGCUCUGCACGCCCCUGGAGCCGCCGCACGGAGCGGCCGAGCUGGACGAGACGGGCACCGAGGCGCUGCCCCGACGGACGCCCGCUCCCGCCUGGCUCCCCACGGCCAAAGGCGAGGAGGGCGACUUCUGCCUGCGCUCGUCGGACUGCGCGGCCGGGCUGUGCUGCGCCCGCCACUUCUGGUCCAAGAUCUGCAAGCCGGUGCUGCGGGAGGGCCAGGUGUGCACCCGGCACCGGCGGAAAGGCUCGCACGGCCUCGAGAUCUUCCAGCGCUGCCAGUGCGCCGAGGGGCUGGCGUGCCGCGGGCAGCGGGAGCACGGGCCCGCCGACGCCUCCCGCCUGCACACCUGCCAGCGCCACUGAGACACACGGACAGACAGACACACGGACACGUGCCGGCGCCACUGAGACACACGGACAGACACACGGACACCUGCCGGCGCCGCUGAGACACGCGCGGACAGACACACGGACACCUGCCGGCGGCGCUGAGACACGCGCGGACAGACAGACGGACACGUGCCAGCGCCACUGAGACACACGCGGACAGACAGACGGACAGGUGCCGGCGGCAAUGAGCAACACACGGACACGCGCUGGCGGCACUGAGCGACACACGGACACGCGGACAGACAGACGGACGGGUGCCGGCGGCGCUGAGCCACACACGGACACACGGACAGGUGCCGGCGGCACUGAGCGACACACGGACAGAUGGACAGACGGACAGGUGCCGGCGGCACUGAGCGACACACAGCCACAAGGACAGGACAGACGGACGCGUCCCGCCUGCGCGCGUGCCGGCGGCGCCGAGCGACACACGGACACACGGACAGGCGCCGGCGACCCUGAGCGACACACGGACAGACAGACAGACGGACAG